rnacentral:tRNA from 1 species
UCCCCGGUCGUCCAAUGGCAGGGCCUCGGUCUUUGAAGCCGAUUAUAAAGGUUCGAAUCCUUUCUGGGGAA